UACAGAGGUCUCAAGCGUUGUUCGGAUUCAUUGGGCGUAAAGGGUGCGUAGGCGGCGCGGUAAGUCGGGUGUGAAAUCUUGGAGCUUAACUCCGAAACUGCAUUCGAUACUGCCGUGCUUGAGGACUGGAGAGGAGACUGGAAUUUACGGUGUAGCGGUGAAAUGCGUAGAUAUCGUAAGGAAGACCAGUGGCGAAGGCAGCUUUCUGGACGACGACUGACGCUCAGGCUCGAAAGCCAAGGUAGCGAACAGG
rnacentral:rRNA from 1 species